GCUAAUUGGGGGGGUGUUAGUGGCAGACGGGUGAGUAAUGCAUAGGAAUCUACCUAGUAGUAUGGGAUAGCCACUAGAAAUGGUGGGUAAUACUGUAUAAUCCCUGCGGGGGAAAGAUUUAUCGCUAUUAGAUGAGCCUAUGUUAGAUUAGCUAGUUGGUAGGGUAAAGGCCUACCAAGGCGAUGAUCUAUAGCUGGUCUGAGAGGAUGAUCAGCCACACUGGAACUGAGAUACGGUCCAGACUCCUACGGGAGGCAGCAGUGGGGAAUAUUGGACAAUGGGCGCAAGCCUGAUCCAGCUAUGCCGCGUGAGUGAGGAAGGCCUUAGGGUUGUAAAACUCUUUCAGUAGGGAAGAUAAUGACGGUACCUACAGAAGAAGUCCCGGCAAACUCCGUGCCAGCAGCCGCGGUAAUACGGAGGGGGCAAGCGUUGUUCGGAAUUAUUGGGCGUAAAGGGCAUGUAGGCGGUUCGGUAAGUUAAAGGUGAAAUGCCAGGGCUUAACCCUGGAGCUGCUUUUAAUACUGCCAGACUAGAGUCCGGGAGAGGAUAGCGGAAUUCCUAGUGUAGAGGUGAAAUUCGUAGAUAUUAGGAGGAACACCAGUGGCGAAGGCGGCUAUCUGGUCCGGUACUGACGCUAAGGUGCGAAAGCGUGGGGAGCAAACAGGAUUAGAUACCCUGGUAGUCCACGCUGUAAACGAUGAGUGCUGAAUGUGGGGAUUUUUUAUCUCUGUGUUGUAGCUAACGCGUUAAGCACUCCGCCUGGGGACUACGGUCGCAAGACUAAAACUCACAGGAAUUGACGGGGACCCGCACAAGCGGUGGAGCAUGUGGUUUAAUUCGAUGCAACGCGAAAAACCUUACCACUCCUUGACAUGGAGAUUAGAUCUUUUCC
rnacentral:rRNA from 1 species